AGAGCGAACGCUGGCGGCAGGCCUAACACAUGCAAGUCGAACGGAUCCUUCGGGAUUAGUGGCGGACGGGUGAGUAACACGUGGGAACGUGCCCUUUGGUUCGGAACAACUCAGGGAAACUUGAGCUAAUACCGGAUAAGCCUUUCGAGGGAAAGAUUUAUCGCCAUUGGAGCGGCCCGCGUAGGAUUAGCUAGUUGGUGAGGUAAAAGCUCACCAAGGCGACGAUCCUUAGCUGGUCUGAGAGGAUGAUCAGCCACAUUGGGACUGAGACACGGCCCAAACUCCUACGGGAGGCAGCAGUGGGGAAUCUUGCGCAAUGGGCGAAAGCCUGACGCAGCCAUGCCGCGUGAAUGAUGAAGGUCUUAGGAUGUAAAUUCUUUCACCGGGACGAUAAUGACGGUACCGGAGAAGAACGCCCGGCUAACUUCGUGCCAGCAGCCGC
rnacentral:rRNA from 1 species